CGCUUUUGUGGGGUGCUCGAGUGGCGAACGGGUGAGUAACACGUGAGUAACCUGCCCUUGACUUUGGGAUAACUUCAGGAAACUGGGGCUAAUACCGGAUAGGAGCUCCUGCUGCAUGGUGGGGGUUGGAAAGUUUCGGCGGUUGGGGAUGGACUCGCGGCUUAUCAGUUUGUUGGUGGGGUAGUGGCCUACCAAGGCUUUGACGGGUAGCCGGCCUGAGAGGGUGACCGGCCACAUUGGGACUGAGAUACGGCCCAG
rnacentral:rRNA from 1 species